rnacentral:misc_RNA from 1 species
UUAACACAUAUUCUGGUUUAGGUAUUUACUGGGCCCAAGUGAUGAUGGGUUAAUAUGUACUGCACCCAGUGGAAUGUACAUCACGCAUGUACAGGACAAACAGAUUGCGUAUUUAAAUAGAUUGUGUGAAAUUAAUUUCAUUGAAAUUAAUCCAAUAGAAUAUCAGUUUAAAUCUGCGGUUCUACGUGGAAACGAAGACGACAUUCAAAGCCUGGCUACUACUGGCAAACUGUUAGGGGAGAGUAUACUGGGCUGGCUACAGGAGUGUGGAAGGUCAGAUAUAUCUGUACACUUCGUUCAAGAUCCUGCCGCCAGGUUUUCUAUCGCCUUGGAGUUGUACAAUCCUCAGUUAGCGUACACAUCUGCACUAUGGCUAGACACACCACUACACUGGGAUAAGGUGGGAGAAAUGGCGCUCAUGGUUGGGGAUCUAUCCCUCGCAGAAAGUGCGUAUCAGAAAGGUCGCAAUUAUGGUAAACUAAAGUUUCUGUAUUUAAUAACAGGAGCGUAUUCCAAGUUGGUAAAGCUUGGACGGAUUCUAGGAGUAAGAAAGGAUCGUAGUGCUCAGUUUGAGGUUGCGCUGCUCCUAGGAGAUAUAAAGGGGCAGGAGAAGCUUCUGAGAGAAGGAGGAAACAAGGCGCUAGGAGAACUUCUUUUGAAAACCUUUCAUCUGGAGAAUGGGGAAGAUGUGAGCUGGGAAACCUUACAUUCAGCCUCAGAGGUUCAUGAACAAAAUACAAACGGUGUAUACCUGCAAGGAGCUGUACCUAUCCUGGGAGAUUUUACAAACUGGCCACUAGUUCCUAUACCACUAGUACAGUCCUAACAGUAGCAUAACAGGAGACGAAGAGAAACAAUCAAGUAUUGAAUUGAUAAGUCAACAAAAAUUUGCAAGUUAACGUUUUAAUUUUUAAGCUACCUGUGAUAUUUAUGAUACAUUGCAUUUUAAUUAGUUAAAUUUAUUAAACAUAUUAUUAUUAUUGUUUUAUGCCUAGUUUUACGAUCGUCUCAUCUUUCUAUCUUCUAUCAAAAUUCAACGAUAGUAAAUUCAUUAUUUUAAAAUUGCACUUUCUCUGUAAAAGAGACUGUUGUAUUUAUGUAACAGAGAAAAUGAAGGAAUGUGGCAGAAUAUAGAACAAUUUUUAAAAUUAGAAAUGGACGAUAUUAUCGACGUUUUCCCUCAAAUGAGUUAAAAAAAGUAGUGAUGUGAAUAGGACAUUUUACGCAGUGCCAUUGGAUUGCAUUUUUCAACAGAUUUCCAAUGACAUAUAAAAUGUCAUGUAGCUUGAAAAAAAAUUUCGCCCCCCCCCCCAAAGUUUUGCUUUUCUGAACUUUUUCUGAGACACCCUGUGCAAUUGAAAAUCCUCCAGUAUUCACUUUUUUGAGACAUCUGUGUCAAAAUAUGACUAAACAAAUAGCACCUUUGGAUUGCAUUUUUUAACGGCUUUCUAACGGUAUAUUAAACAGCCCUGCAGCAGGCUUUAUAAAAUAAUUACCCCCCUCCCCCCCUGGAGAACAUAGUGCGCCGGGUCCCUUAAUGAUGUUAACAGUAUUUUUGUUAAAUCUGAAAUUGAUUUUAUUGGACACUACAUAAAACAACCAUGUAGUCAGUUUUGUGAGCAAGUAUUUUUGAUAAACUGAGGUUAAAGAUUUAGCUUUUGACUGUGUCUACUAGCUAGGUUUUAAACUGUAUGUAGUAGUAAACUUUCUGUAAACAAAAAGAUUAAUAGGUAGAUAGGCACUUUUACUAUAUUAACCUUUUUCAG